rnacentral:rRNA from 1 species
GAUGAACGCUGGCGGUAUGCUUAACACAUGCAAGUCGAACGGACUCUUCGGAGUUAGUGGCGGACGGGUGAGUAACGCGUGAGAAUCUGGCUUUGGGUUCGGAACAACCACUGGAAACGGUGGCUAAUACCGGAUGUGCCGAGAGGUAAAAGAGAAAUUGCCUGAAGAUGAGCUCGCGUCUGAUUAGCUAGUUGGUGAGGUAAAGGCUCACCAAGGCAGCGAUCAGUAGCUGGUCUGAGAGGAUGACCAGCCACACUGGGACUGAGACACGGCCCAGACUCCUACGGGAGGCAGCAGUGGGGAAUUUUCCGCAAUGGGCGAAAGCCUGACGGAGCAAUACCGCGUGAGGGAAGAAGGCUCUUGGGUUGUAAACCUCUUUUCUUAGGGAAGAACAAAAUGACGGUACCUAAGGAAUCAGCAUCGGCUAACUCCGUG